GUCUAUCUUGCGCGCAAGCCAAUGGGUAAAUGGUGCGGUACGCCGCCCAUGACUGGAAACCCACAGGCACAGACAAAUCGAGUGUUGCGGGAUUACGGGUACGGCCGAUGGCGCAAGCCUUCGUCGGACCCCUCCAUCCCAGGGUGUCCCGUUCGGGUGCUUGCACCCAGCGGACAUCCCCGGAGUGCGUAGGAUGUGACCCGAAAGAUGGUGAACUAUGCCUGAUCAGGUUGAAGUCAGGGGAAACCCUGAUGGAGGACCGAAGCAAUUCUGACGUGCAAAUCGAUUGUCAGAGUUGGGCAUAGGGGCGAAAGACCAAUCGAACCAU
rnacentral:rRNA from 1 species